CGGAGGAGAUGCAGGCAGAGCCAUCGAGGCAGCACUGCAGCUGGACCUGGGUGUGAGUCCCUGCUCCUGGCUGUGAGAUGUGUCUCUCCCUCUGUUUAUUCAUCUGAAGGACAGGGCUGUGCUGUUCUGGGGUCACUGUGACAAUGCAGCUGGCCUGUAAGUACAGAGGAACCUGGUGCCGGCCGCAGUCAACCCUGAUGUGAUGAUCUGUCCACCAACCCUCUUUGAUGUCUUGGUGCUGGCUGCUGUCUUUGGCCAGCUAAAAGAAUAUCAGCAGAGGAGCAGCCCUGGUGUUCCCACAGGAGUGAAGACGAAAAAGAAAAAUACUGGCCGUAGCCCUGAGACAACCACUUCUUGUGGUUGCCACUCA
rnacentral:lncRNA from 10 species